CUACGGGAGGCAGCAGUGGGGAAUCUUGCGCAAUGCGCGAAAGCGUGACGCAGCAACACCGCGUGAGGGAAGACGGCCUUCGGGUUGUAAACCUCUUUCAGGAGGGACGAAGGUCCAUCAGUUAAUAGCUGCUUGGACUGACGGUACCUCCAGAAGAAGCUCCGGCUAACUACGUGCCAGCAGCCGCGGUAAUACGUAGGGAGCGAGCGUUGUCCGGAAUCAUUGGGCGUAAAGCGCGCGUAGGCGGCCCGAUAAGUCUGCUGUGAAAGUCAACGGCUCAACCGUUGAAUGCCGGUGGAUACUGGCGGGCUAGAGUACGGAAGAGGCAAGUGGAAUUCCUGGUGUAGCGGUGGAAUGCGCAGAUAUCAGGAGGAACACCGAUAGCGAAGGCAGCUUGCUGGGACGUUACUGACGCUGAGGCGCGAAAGCGUGGGGAGCGAACAGGAUUAGAAACCCGGGUAGUCC
rnacentral:rRNA from 1 species